rnacentral:rRNA from 1 species
ACGCUCGACACCUACGGGAGGUAGCAGUUGGGAAUAUUGGACAAUGGAGGAAACUCUGAUCCAGUGACGCCGCGUGAAGGAAGAAGGUCUUCGGAUUGUAAACUUAUUUUGUCAGGGAAGAAAAAUGACUGUACCUGAAGAAAAAGCACCGGCUAACUACGUGCAGCAGCCGCGGUAAUCUGAGCGGGCUGGCAAGGC